GCGAGAGUGGCGGAACUGGCAGACGCGCAGGAUUUAGGUUCCUGUGCCGCAAGGCGUGCGGGUUCGACUCCCGCCUCUCGCA
rnacentral:tRNA from 1 species